GUAACACGUAGUCAACCUGCCCUGGAGACAUGGACAACCCCGGGAAACUGGGAUUAAUCCGUGAUAGGUCAUCUCAUCUGGAAGGAGAGAUGGCUUAAAGGGGUACGCGGGCUUCUUCUGCGUAUCUGCUCCAGGAUGGGACUGCGUCCGAUCAGGCUGUUGGCGGGGUAAUGGCCCACCAAACCUGUAACCGGUACGGGCCUUGAGAGAGGUGGCCCGGAGAUGGACACUGAGAGAAGGGUCCAGGUCCUACGGGGCGCAGCAGGCGCGAAACCUUCGCAAUGCGCGAAAGCGUGACGAGGUUAAUCCGAGUGGCCCCCGCUGAGGGGGUCUUUUGUCAGCUGUAAAUAGGCAGGCGAAUAAGGGGAGGGCAAGCCUGGUGUCAGCCGCCGCGGUAAUACCAGCUCCUCGAGUGGUCGGGGCGAUUAUCGGGCCUAAAGCAUCCGUAGCCGGUUCCGUAGGUCCUCUGUUAAAUCCAGCCGCUUAACGGUUGACAUGCAGAGGAUACCGCGGGACU
rnacentral:rRNA from 1 species